ACCUUGUAAAAGAGACUA
rnacentral:snRNA from 1 species